UACGUAGGGGGCAAGCGUUAUCCGGAUUUACUGGGUGUAAAGGGAGCGUAGACGGCUGUGCAAGUCAGAAGUGAAAGCCCGGGGCUCAACCGCGGGACUGCUUUUGAAACUGUGUAGCUAGAGUGCAGGAGAGGUAAGUGGAAUUCCUAGUGUAGCGGUGAAAUGCGUAGAUAUUAGGAGGAACACCAGUGGCGAAGGCGGCUUUCUGGACGAUAACUGACGCUGAGGCGCGAAAGCGUGGGGAGCAAACAGG
rnacentral:rRNA from 1 species